rnacentral:rRNA from 1 species
UUACACAUGCAAGUCGAACGGUAACAUUGGGUGCUUGCACCAGAUGACGAGUGGCGCACGGGUGCGUAACGCGUAUGCAAUCUACCUUUUACUGAAGAAUAGCCCAGAGAAAUUUGGAAUAAUCCUUCAUAAUAUCAUUUAUCAGCAUUGAUUUAUGAUUAAAGCUCCGGCGGUAAAAGAUGAGCAUGCGUCCUAUUAGUUUGUUGGUGAGGUAACGGCUCACCAAGACUACGAUAGGUAGGGGCCCUGAGAGGGGGAUCCCCCACACUGGUACUGAGACACGGACCAGACUCCUACGGGAGGCAGCAGUGAGGAAUAUUGGACAAUGGAGGCAACUCUGAUCCAGCCAUGCCGCGUGCCGGAUGACUGCCCUAUGGGUUGUAAACUGCUUUUAUAUAGGAAGAAACACUCCCACGUGUGGGGGCUUGACGGUACUAUAUGAAUGAGGAUCGGCUAACUCCGUGCCAGCAGCCGCGGUAAUACGGAGGAUCCAAGCGUUAUCCGGAAUCAUUGGGUUUAAAGGGUCCGCAGGCGGCCUGUUAAGUCAGAGGUGAAAGCCAACAGCUCAACUGUUGAACUGCCUUUGAUACUGAUAGGCUUGAGUUAUUGUGAAGUGGUUAGAAUGUGUGGUGUAG